rnacentral:pre_miRNA from 1 species
GGGGGGUAGGCCGGAUCCUGGGCUGUGUCCCGGCGCCCUGUGCUCCGGGGCCUGCGCUGUUGGAUUCGCGCUCCCGCCCCGCAGCCCCCU